UUUAUGGAGAGUUUGAUCCUGGCUCAGGAUGAACGCUGGCGGCGUGCCUAAUACAUGCAAGUCGAGCGAACUGACGAGGAGCUUGCUCCUUUGACGUUAGCGGCGGACGGGUGAGUAACACGUGGGUAACCUACCUAUAAGACUGGAAUAACUCCGGGAAACCGGGGCUAAUGCCGGAUAACAUGUUGAACCGCAUGGUUCAACAGU
rnacentral:rRNA from 1 species